rnacentral:rRNA from 1 species
GGGACGAACGCUGGCGGCGUGCUUAACACAUGCAAGUCGAGCGGAAAGGCCCUUCGGGGUACUCGAGCGGCGAACGGGUGAGUAACACGUGAGCAACCUGCCCCUAGCUCUGGGAUAGCUCCGGGAAACCGGGAUUAAUACCAGAUACGACCACUUUAGACAUCUUUUGUGGUGGAAAGGAUUCCGGCUAGGGAUGGGCUCGCGGCCUAUCAGCUUGUUGGUGAGGUAACGGCCCACCAAGGCGACGACGGGUA